GGGCGCUUAGCUCAGCCGGGGAGAGCGUCGCCCUUACAAGGCGAAGGUCGCAGGUUCAAUUCCUGCAGCGCCCACCA
rnacentral:tRNA from 1 species